rnacentral:rRNA from 1 species
UACGUAGGAGGCGAGCGUUGUCCGGAGUUACUGGGCGUAAAGCGCGUGUAGGCGGCCCUGCAAGUCGGAUGUGAAAUCCCACGGCUCAACCGUGGAAGUGCAUUCGAAACUGCAGGGCUAGAGUCCUGGAGAGGAAGGUGGAAUGCUUGGUGUAGAGGUGAAAUUCGUAGAUAUCAAGCGGAACACCGGUGGCGAAGGCGGCCUUCUGGACAGUGACUGACGCUGAGGUGCGAAAGCGUGGGGAGCAAACAGG